UACAGAGGGGGCAAGCGUUAUUCGGAAUUAUUGGGCGUAAAGGGCGCGUAGGCGGCCUGGCAAGUGGAAGGUGAAAUCCCUCGGCUUAACCGAGGAACUGCCCUCCAAACUGCUUGGCUUGAGUCCGGGAGAGGGUAACGGAAUUCACGGUGUAGCAGUGAAAUGCGUAGAUAUCGUGAGGAACACCAGAGGCGAAGGCGGUUACCUGGACAGUUACUGACGCUCAGGCACGAAAGCAUGGGGAGCAAAAGGG
rnacentral:rRNA from 1 species